GAGCUCCUCAACCAAUUACCAAGGCUUUCACUAAAACCCAAUCCUCCCGCGGCAGGUGCUCCAAUUAGCACGGCUGUGAGCUGAGGAACAUCGGCGUUCCGAAUCGUCCACCGGUAGAUCCAGACCUUCCUGCCUGCUCCUCACUCACCGCGUCAGCACAGAUCGGACGGUGGACUUUAAAUCACAGUAUAGGUUUUACGAGCCCUUUCCCGAAGUCAAUAUUGUGGAAGUCGGGUGAUGUGCAGCGGAGGUUGCUGUGAGGACGCGGACGAGCAACCGUCCGGUCUGCUCUCGCUCACAUGGCGUCAUGCGCGAUGCUCGGGCAGAGGGCCCUCGGUGUCUGGAUCCUGGCCCUCAACGCAGCCUUCGGUGUCUGUAUGAGACGCUGAUGUUGGGUCCCUAAAGAAGAUCAGGACUUUGACUCCGUAGACCUCCGUUCAUGUCGCGUGGGAAACCCACCCAAGUGACUUCACAACAUCGCGUUUGUGCCCGUUGUCAGAUCACGAGCUUAAAACUUCUUUUUAUCACUAGCCAAGCUCCACGGCGUUAACUGCUGCGCUGCUAACUGCUGCUACCGCUGCUACCGCUGCACAAUGCUCACCAAACCUUCUGCCUCAAGGUCUACACAGCAGGGUCGUGUUAUAGAUCAGACAAGGAACAAUAUUAGCGGAUCAGUCCGUCUCCCCGCUGUGACUGCCUGUCUCUCUGGUAUGAUGGAAACAACAUUUUCUUCUAUUUUAGAAACCCCUUAAACCCCAGAUCAAGCUACUGCGCUCACAGUCUCUGCUGUUGUCCGGUGUGUGAAUUAUGGCACAGGAGUUAACCCUUCUAUUGGCUGGAUGUUGCACCGGUUCUUCCAGCGUGCACUGUUUGUUUGUGGGCUCAUUUAACACUUCUGUGGCCUUGAAGGACGAUCCAAUUGACUGGAGUGAGUUGUCCCUCGCUGGAAUACCGUAAUGCCCGCGUAUUACCGGGGGCUCGGCCGGCGGUGGUACAAAUGAGCCUUUCGGGACGCACGCCGCAUCUCCUCGAGUCCCAUCCAGAGAUUACGGUCAAGUACAGUCGACGCACUUGGCACUUCAUCUGGCCUUGUCCGUGCACAGCUCUCUGCCUGCCGGCUGCAUGUGUGACAUGCCUGAGUAUAAAAGGGUCCGUGCAGUUCACGCUGCACCUCCUCCUCCUCCUCCUCCACAGACAGGAGAAGGGAGGAGGACAACCGCUAGCACUCCCUCGAGCUCUGCAUUUCCUCAAAAAGCGACCCCCGCCGUACUUUGACCAGAUUCCUUUGUACUUUAAACAAGACUCCCAUUGCAGCCCGUGUGAGUACAGUCGCAGGUUUCCCUAGUUUGACCCCGCGUGGCGGAACACGCCUCCGUGUGCGUGUCUGAGGAGGAGAGGGACGAGUGAAGGUACGGCCGUGCCCCCCGUGCAUAAAUCACUUGACCCAGACUUACUAUUGGCUAUGUGGACAUGUGCCGGCGUGAGAGGCUCCUGAUGACAAUGUAUCUGCCCGAGCCAUAAUGGAUGGUACACAGAGCGCGCUGUCAUCCGGCAAAUAUGCUCCCCCCGGAU
ensembl:lncRNA